rnacentral:snRNA from 1 species
AUACUUACCUGGCAGGGGAGAUACCAUGAUCACGAAGGUGGUUUUCCCAGGGCGAGUCUUAUCCAUUGCACUCCAGAUGUGCUGACCCCUGCGACUUCCCCAAAUGUGACUCCAUGGCUUGGAAGCUGGCCUC